rnacentral:tRNA from 1 species
GCGGGCAUCGUAUAAUGGCUAUUACCUCAGCCUUCCAAGCUGGUGAUGCGGGUUCGAUUCCCGCUGCCCGCUCCA